GAUGAACGCUGGCGGCGUGCCUAAUACAUGCAAGUCGAGCGAACAGACGAGGAGCUUGCUCCUCUGACGUUAGCGGCGGACGGGUGAGUAACACGUGGAUAACCUACCUAUAAGACUGGGAUAACUUCGGGAAACCGGAGCUAAUACCGGAUAAUAUAUUGAACCGCAUGGUUCAAUAGUGAAAGACGGUUUUGCUGUCACUUAUAGAUGGAUCCGCGCCGCAUUAGCUAGUUGGAAAGGUAACGGCUUACCAAGGCAACGAUGCGUAGCCGACCUGAGAGGGUGAUCGGCCACACUGGAACUGAGACACGGUCCCGACUCCUACGGGAGGCAGCAGUAGGGAAUCUUCCGCAAUGGGCGAAAGCCUGACGGAGCAACGCCGCGUGAGGGAUGAAGGUCUUUGGAUCGUAAAACUCUGUUAUUAGGGAAGAACAAAUGUGUAAGUAACUAUGCACGUCUUGACGGUACCUAAUCAGAAAGCCACGGCUAACUACGUG
rnacentral:rRNA from 1 species